AUUGAGCUUUGUAGAACAGUAUGACGCUUUUAUUCUGAAACACUCGUACCGGACGUGUCACUUUUAUUCUGUUUAGAAACACAAACAGCUCGACACAGCCUGUCCACUUUAUACAAUAGUGGACGGAUGAUCUCCCCCUACUCUCUGCACCUCAGUGGACAAAAUAAGGGAAACACCACAAGCAAAACAACUUUGAAGAAUCACAGCUACAGGGGCAGCUGACAGGUUACAAGCUUGACAGACAGCUGCGUUUCUCUUCCAGCUUCAGAGGAGACAGUCGACACCUUCACUUCCAGUAUGAGUGAGUUAACAGACUUUGAUAGAGGCCAGAUCGUUGGUGCCCAACUUGCAGGUCUGUCAGUCAGAAAAACUGCUCAGUUAUGUGAUGUAUCAAGUCGAACUGUCGUCAAAGUCAUGAGUGUGUAUAACACACAUGGAAACACUUCAUCUGCAAAGAACAGUGAGUCCAAGCUAGAGACGAAAAGUAUAAGACUGACCAAAGCUGCUGCUAAUGAAGAAGCUGCCAGUGGAACAUUUGUAUCUGACGCUGAGAUGGACACACAAAACCCAAAAGAAUCCCAGACCAAAGACAAGGAGUCAUCUUAGUCUGACGUGAUGUGUUUCAGACUCGCACAUUAUUAUUAUUCAUUAAACUGGUUAAUGUUUGCAUAAAACCACAGCCUUCAUUUAACCCCACACUUUUGCUCACUUUUGAACCUUUUCGUUUAAGUUUUUAGAUCUACUUAUUAUUAUUAUUAUUAUUAUUAUUAUUAUUAUUAUUAUUAUUAUUAUUAUUAUUAUUAUUAAUUUGGAAAACACAUUUGGACAAUAACACUAAACUGUGGUAUAUUCCUAUUUUGCAUUAAAUAAAAUGCCACCAUCAUAUAAUGUAGAUACAAUGAAACCAAAUAAAUAAUAUUUUAUCCAAAUAACAAAUGGUACAAUGGUAACAGAGAGAACAAGCAAUGAGUUUUCCCCCCCGAUGUUCUGGCAUUAAGCAGGGUUUUAAGAUGACAAUAACAUACUGAUUGCAAUCCACUUUUUGUUUAGAUGAGAAGCAAUUUAAAGGAAAACCCUGAAAGAGGAUAGAAAUAAUUUAGUUAAAAGUUAUAAAGUGUUGAAGUGGACCUGUUUUGUUCAUUCAAACUUGCUCUAUUUGUUCUGUCUCUGUGGGGCAAUAUUACUAAUGCGUCUAUACUGUUAAAUGAUUUCGAUAAAGUAAAUGCAUCUGUGUACUCCUGCAGGUCUCUGUCUUCUGUACUUUUCCUGUGUUAAAUCACUGUUCUGACCACCAGUUGUGCAUGUACUUUGACCUCCAAAAGAGAAAUACUUUACUUUGUCAUGAUAUUUUGACCUUUGACCUCCCGUCUGGGUCAUGGCCAUCAGAAAUCGAUAAAGAACAGACUGGCUAUUGAUUUACGAACAAACCGCCGCCAUGGUUGCGGUGCCUUUUCUUUGUAAUUCACAAGUCUCCCAUUGGAGAUUAAUCUAUAAUUAAGAAGUUGCUGCACUCAUUGUUGCUGCACUUAGCAUAAGUCAUUUGUCAUGUAGAAUUUAUUUUAUUUGGUCUACUCUUCCCCUGUACCAUCAAAGGUUUUAGAAAAUGUUAAAUAAUGCUCAAUUUUCUUUUUAUGCCAAAAUAGGCUGUUUGUAAAUAAAAUAAUGAAAUAAUGUAAAACAUAUGUGUAAAACUAUAGACCCUUUUAUUCUGAAAACCUCCGAGCGGAAGUACUAGUUAUCCUCUCCCCGGUGAAACAAACAGCUCGGUGAUGAAGUAGCGGUGGGCAGGCUGCCCACUUUGUGCAAUUUUAGUAACACAGUGGUGGAUGCUUUCCUAACCUGGAUCUCUCUGCUCCAGUUUACACAAUAAUGGAAACACCAUAUGACAGAGGACUUUGAGGCACCUAAGUAGCAACUACAGGGCCUGCUACCUGCCUGCUUGUUGGGAUUGCCUGUCAGCUCCAAAAGACACUGUCAACAAUUAAAUAGCAGUGCUCAAAGCAAUAUGAGUGACUUGACAGAGUUUGAAAGAUGCCAAAUAGUUGCUGCACGACUGUCUGGUGCAUCUGUCACAAAAACUGCACAGCUGUUUAAUGUGGCAAGGGGAACAGUCUCCAGAGUCAUGACUGUAUACAUCAAACAUGGACGAACAGCGUCGGCAAAGAAGAACAGCGGGCGCAAGUCAAAGCUCACCGAAAAGGAUAGACAGACACUUCUCAGGAUAGUUGAUGAGCACCCUGAGUAUACAGCCUCAAAAAUAACCACAGAGUUGAAUAGACACCUCUGUCACACCGUCUCAGUAAAAACUAUACGGCGGGAGCUCCACAAAGCUGGGAUUUUUCGAGGAGCAGCCAGUCAGAAACCAGAGGCGGAGACUGACACACAGGAGUCAGAUGGAAAGAACAAUAAACCUGAAAGUGACAAAGAGUGUGGCACACAAAAGUCUGGUGAAGAGAGCAUAAGACCUGAACCUCAGACCAGUGAAAAGGAAUAACGUGUUGCAUUUCAACCUUUCUAAUACAUCCACAUUGGUAAUGUUAAGGGGAAAACCACAAAAUGCCUUCAUCUGCCAACUGUUAAAUGUGACCAUGUAUCUUAAAUAACAUUUCAGUUUUUAGAUUUUAUUAUUUAUUUUUGCAUGAAUGGUGCAAUAUUUCGGCUUUUUCCUGGACUACAAGCAAGCAUAAUUUAAAUGUAGUCCAUCGAGAAUCAUCCCUGGAAAUAUACAUACUGUAAGUGUUUAAUGGUAUAUUAUGAUAUUAUUCAGUGCAAAACACUCAAUUCAAUACAGAUAAUGAAUCGAAAAACUCACAGUUAGUUCCUUAUUUGUAGACCAAGUUCAUGCAGAGAGGAUAUCUGCUGUUUUACAACAUAUCUGUGUUGGGCUGUAAAGAAUGGCCUUUCUGAAGUUAUGUAUCAGAAAAAACGUUGUGGUUAAGGUGUGAAACCAAGCAGCAACUACAGUCCUGUAAGAGUCUUGAGAUGCAGUUUCUCUACUGUCACCGUAAAUACCUCCAGCUCACUUUUUGUAAUAUGACGUCAGUUUUAUUGCACAAGAGGUUAAGUUUUCAGUCAGUGAGUAGAUGUCCAUAAUGUGUCUUUUACGGUGUCUUGAAAAAUAUAUAAUGUUUAUGAGGACAUUAAGACUUAAAUAAAAGUAGACCUGCUGUAUGUUUUUGGGCUUGGUUGACAGUGCUUGCUGCUUGGUCCAGACUCUACACAAACCCAAAGAACGUCCCUUCAGCAAACUAUGGGAUGGUGCAGAUAAAGCACUUUGUGUACUUUUAUGACAUGUAAAUGUUGGGCACUACUUACUCUUUACUGCAAAUGCCUUGAGUGAUAAUUGGUUACCCCACCAUAAUGUAUUGCAUCUGACACAUGCCAUACCUCCCAUGCUUCCUUUGCUUUUGUAUACUAAAUGUCAUGUUUAUAGCACUUGCAUGUGCUGUGGCAGGGAUGGGAGUGGCACACAAAGCAUCAGACGACAUGUAAUCCAUAUUAAAAAAUCACACUGAAACAAAAGCUGUCUGUAUAUUCUUCUGUAUUAACGAAUAAGGGUGUAAAACUGUUGGUUGUCAAAAAGCUUCUGAUUAUGUUAAAGCUCUGAAACCUUGAGCAAUUUCAGCUCUGAGUGGAUGGCAGGAAUUUGGGUGCCAGUGCUGUACAGGAUGUAUCUGGUAUUGUGAGGCCAGUCAGUUACUUCUCU